AACAUCAACCAUCUUGUUGUGACUUGCGAGAAGUUCAUAAAUUUUGUUUCAGAGAAAAAACAGUUUCAGACUGCUAAAUGGGUUCCCUAUGUUUCCAAGCAUCAGCAGGUGUCCCAUACUAAACCUAGUCGAAUCUCUCUUCCACGAUUCUCUCCUGAACUCCGACAUGAGCAUCGUCGAAGAAGAACUCCGUACAAAUCUCGUGUUUUCCGACAGCCGAAGGUAGGUUCAUCCCUCACAAAGAUGUCAGCUUUCCUCACCUCAACGACCAACAUCUUCACGCGCCGCCCGGCAAUGGAACUGCCAAGUACCUGGGCUACUUAAACCUAAACGGCAGCGGGGAUCAAAAUGGGAAGCUCGAAUCGACGUUCUCGAACGAAUUGCGUGGCGAUCCCCAGUUCCUGGUCGAAUCCGAGCCGUCUGAUCCCGCGUUGUAUGCGAAGGAGGCUAUCGAGCAGUAAGUUCUGCUUGUUUUUCUACGGAGGAAAUAUUUCAGGAAUCGGAGACGCGUUGCAGAUCAGUUGCGUGUCGGUGGUGAUUACGGAGCGUCCGAUUCUGGAUCUUCCGUUCAUGGACGUGCUGAGAUGGUCGGAGACCACGGUGUUUGUGGGGGCGGGAGGAGGGGUUGAGGGGAUGAAGAAGCAACUGGAUCGCACGUGCAAGAGAGAGAGAGACACGAGAGAAUGAAGAAUCUAGCCAUGGUGGCGAGUCAGCAUUUUGUUUGGAAUUCGUCCCCGCAGCCGAACGAUGCCUUCCACACGGUCAUGUAUCAGCUGUGGCUGAGACGGCAUACGAUUAGGUAUGCGAGAUGGGAAUCGAUUUGACGAGGGUGAUUUGAUUUGAACAGUAAAUGUAUGUAUUUGGAUUAUGAACAGAAAGAUAGAUGUUUCCAAUAAAUGUAAACAUAUUUCAACUUGAUUAUCUUCUCUCCAUUAAAGGUUCU